UGAGGAUGCAUUGAGAUCCGAUCACUCAAACCACAUUCGGAAGUGGUCCAUGCCACAUGUGUCCACAUUCGUGAAAACGGGUAUGUGUCCUCGGCCACAUUAAGGACCGCCUACUCAACUGUGAGCGGAACUACGUACUCAUUCAAAGUAUUUCUCAUGUCACAGAAAUCAAUGAGAGUGAAUCAUGUGUUUAUCAUACUUUC